rnacentral:rRNA from 1 species
UGGGGAAUUUUGGACAAUGGGCGAAAGCCUGAUCCAGCCAUGCCGCGUGAGUGAAGAAGGCCUUCGGGUUGUAAAGCUCUUUUAGUCGGAAAGAAAGAGUUGCAAUGAAUAAUUGUGAUUUAUGACGGUACCGACAGAAAAAGCACCGGCUAACUACGUGCCAGCAGCCGCGGUAAUACGUAGGGUGCGAGCGUUAAUCGGAAUUACUGGGCGUAAAGGGUGCGCAGGCGGUCUUGCAAGUCAGAUGUGAAAGCCCCGGGCUUAACCUGGGAAUUGCGUUUGAAACUACAAGACUAGAGUGCAGCAGAGGGGAGUGGAAUUCCAUGUGUAGCAGUGAAAUGCGUAGAUAUCAAGAGGAACACCUGAGGCGAAGGCGGGUUGCUGGGCCGACACUGACGCUGAUGCGCGAAAGCCAGGGGAGCAAACG